ensembl:lncRNA novel transcript
AAAAAAAGAAAGUAAAUGGACUUGCCACAGUGUACAGGCAAGAGGAGGGGAGGAUUAUCCUAAUCAAUUACUGAGCCAAUUGAUUUUUUUUUUUGCGUUAACGUAGGUAUUUUGACCAAGAUUUGUAAUGUCUAGUGUGUGUUCUUUAUGGCAGUGUUUCAUCUUUUGGCAUCCUUGAAAUGUCAGUUUUGUGUAAUUGUCUCAUGAACAAUGAAUUAUGCACACCCUUUAAUAAAUGUAAACUAACAAUUGGUUUUGGGAUUGUCUUCUUACAAAAUUAUUUAUCCUCUUAAAGUUUAAAAAGGCUUUAGAGACUGAGAGGAAAAUGCAUUUGAUUAAACAGAUAGUACUGAUGAACUCCAAAAA